UACAGAGGUCUCAAGCGUUGUUCGGAAUUACUGGGCGUAAAGGGUGCGCAGGCCGCGCGGGCAGUCAAAUGUGUAAUUCAGGGGCUCAACCCCUGCACUGCGCUUGAUACUUCCGCGCUAGAACUUUGGAGAGGAGUCUGGAAUUCUCGGUGUAGCAGUGAAAUGCGUGGAUAUCGAGAAGAACACUAAGGGCGUAAGCAAGACUCUGGACAAAUGUUGACGCUCAAGCACGAAGGCUAGGGUAGCGAACGGG
rnacentral:rRNA from 1 species